UACGGAGGAUGCAAGCGUUAUCCGGAUUCAUUGGGUUUAAAGGGUGCGUAGGCGGCUUUUUAAGUCAGUGGUGAAAUCCUGCCGCUUAACGGUAGAAUUGCCAUUGAUACCGAAGAGCUUGAGUUCAGUUGAGGUAAGCGGAAUGUGUAGUGUAGCGGUGAAAUGCUUAAAUAUUACACAGAACACCAAUUGCGAAGGCAGCUUACUAAACUGUUACUGACGCUGAUGCACGAAAGCGUGGGGAGCGAACAGGAUUAGAUACCCUGGUAGUCCACGCCGUAAACGAUGUUCACUCGCUGUUUGCGAUACACAGCAAGCGGCCAAGCGAAAGCAUUAAGUGAACCACCUGGGGAGUACGAUCGCAAGGUUGAAACUCAAAGGAAUUGACGGGGGCCCGCACAAGCGGAGGAACAUGUGGUUUAAUUCGAUGAUACGCGAGGAACCUUACCUGGGCUUAAAUGUAGAGCGACAGAUUGUGAAAGCAGUCCUUCUUCGGACGAUCUACAAGGUGCUGCAUGGUUGUCGUCAGCUCGUGCCGUGAGGUGUCGGGUUAAGUCCCAUAACGAGCGCAACCCUUAUCGUUAGUUGCCAGCGGGUCAAGCCGGGGACUCUAGCGAGACUGCCACCGUAAGGUGUGAGGAAGGUGGGGAUGACGUCAAAUCAGCACGGCCCUUAUGUCCAGGGCUACACACGUGUUACAAUGGCCGAUACAAAGGGCAGCUACUUGGUGACAAGAUGCUAAUCUCUAAAGUCGGUCUCAGUUCGGAUCGAAGUCUGCAACCCGACUUCGUGAAGCUGGAUUCGCUAGUAAUCGCAUAUCAGCCAUGAUGCGGUGAAUACGUUCCCGGGCCUUGUACACACCGCCCGUCAAACAAUGGAAGCUGGGGGUACCUGAAGUCUGUAACCGCAAGGAGCGGCCCAGGGUAAAACUAGUAACUGGUGUU
rnacentral:rRNA from 1 species